rnacentral:rRNA from 1 species
AUACCGGGCCUUUUUGGGCUUGGUAAUUGGAAUGAGGGAGAGUUAAACGGACCAUCGAGUAUCCAUUGGAGGGCAAGUCUGGUGCCAGCAGCUGCGGUAAUACCAGCUCCAAUAGCGUAUAUUAAAGUUGUUGCAGUUAAAAAGCUCGUAGUUGGACUUGUGUGCGCUGUCCGCGGGUGGCCUGCGCCCAAAAGGGCGUUUCGGUUCGGCCCCGGUGGCGCCUUGAAAUCUGCAGCUGGAGGGACGUUGGCCUUAACUGGUCGGCGACCGCACGCCGGCUGCUCGGUUACUGUGAGAAAAUUAGAGUGUUCAAGGCAGGCAUUGGGUGCAAUUGAAUACAUUAGCAUGGAAUAAUAAAAUAUGGCUCCUGCCGUAUUUUGUUGGUUUUGACUGGUGGGAGUAAUGAUUGAUAGGGACGGUUGGGGGUGCUAGUAUUGAGCGGCCAGAGGUGAAAUUCAUGGAUUCGCUCAAGACUAACUUAUGCGAAAGCAUUCACCAAGGACGUCCUCUUUAAUCAAGAACGAAAGUUGGGGGAUCGAAGACGAUCAGAUACCGUCGUAGUCUCAACCAUAAACUAUGUCGACUUGGGAUCGGCGGUAGUUUUUUCAUUAAGACACUGUCGGGACCACGGGAGAAAUCAAAGUGUCUGGACUCUGGGGGAAGUAUGGUCGCAAGGCUGAAACUUGAAGGAAUUGACGGAAGGGCACCACCAGGAGUGGAGCCUGCGGCUUAAUUUGACUCAACACGGGGAAACUUACCAGGUCCAGAGAUGUAGAGGAUUGACAGAUUGAAGCUCUUUCUUGAUCACUUCGGUGGUGGUGCAUGGCCGUUCUUAGUUGGUGGAGUGAUUUGUCUGGUUAAUUCCGUUAACGAACGAGACCUCAGCCUGCUAGUGUAGUCGGCUGGAUUGCCUUUGGCGAUCCGUGAUUUCGACUUCUUAGAGGGACAAUCGACGCGCAGUCGAUGGAAGUUUGAGGCAAUAACAGGUCUGUGAUGCCCUUAGAUGUUCUGGGCCGCACGCGCGCUACACUGCUGGGCUCAGCGAGUUUUACUUGGCCGAGAGGCCCGGUUAAUCUUGUGAAAUCCCAGCGUGCUUGGGCUCGCCUCCUGCAACUGGAGGCGCCAACGAGGAAUUCCUAGUAGACGCAGGUCAUCAACCUGCAUCGAUUACGUCCCUGCCCUUUGUACACACCGCCCGUCGUUCCAUAAGAGUGAGGCAUCCGGUGAAUUCUCGGGAGAGCCUGGGCGUGGCCAGCAAUGGUCUGCUCGGGUUUGAACUUGCAUAAACUUGGUGCCUAUGAUUAGGG